rnacentral:rRNA from 1 species
GUAGGKGAACCUGCGGAGGGAUCAUUA